GGGGGAUUAGCUCAGCUGGGAGAGCGCGGGCUUUGCAAGCCUGAGGUCGAGGGUUCGAGUCCCUUAUCCUCCA
rnacentral:tRNA from 1 species